GAUGAACGCUGGCGGCGUGCCUAAUACAUGCAAGUCGAGCGAACAGACGAGGAGCUUGCUCCUCUGACGUUAGCGGCGGACGGGUGAGUAACACGUGGAUAACCUACCUAUAAGACUGGGAUAACUUCGGGAAACCGGAGCUAAUACCGGAUAAUAUAUUGAACCGCAUGGUUCAAUAGUGAAAGACGGUUUUGCUGUCACUUAUAGAUGGAUCCGCGCCGCAUUAGCUAGUUGGUAAGGUAACGGCUUACCAAGGCAACGAUGCGUAGCCGACCUGAGAGGGUGAUCGGCCACACUGGAACUGAGACACGGUCCAGACUCCUACGGGAGGCAGCAGUAGGGAAUCUUCCGCAAUGGGCGAAAGCCUGACGGAGCAACGCCGCGUGAGUGAUGAAGGUCUUCGGAUCGUAAAACUCUGUUAUUAGGGAAGAACAAAUGUGUAAGUAACUGUGCACGUCUUGACGGUACCUAAACAGAAAGCCACGGCUAACUACGUG
rnacentral:rRNA from 1 species